rnacentral:tRNA from 1 species
GGUGAGGUGCGCCGAGCGGCUAGGCAACGGUUUGCAAAACCGUCCCACGCGGGUUCGAAUCCCGUCCUCACCU